rnacentral:rRNA from 1 species
CAAUAGCGUAUAUUUAAGUUGUUGCAGUUAAAAAGCUCGUAGUUGGAUUUCGGAUGGGAUUUGCCGGUCCGUCGUUGCGAUGUGCACUGGCCAAUCCUAUCUUGUUGUCGGGGACUAGCUCCUGGCUUCACUGUCCGGGACUAGGAGCUGACGAGGUUACUUUGAGUAAAUUAGAGUGUUCAAAGCAAGCCUACGCUCUGAAUACAUUAGCAUGGAAUAACACGAUAGGACUCUGGCUUAUCUUGUUGGUCUGUGAGACCAGAGUAAUGAUUAAGAGGGACAGUCGGGGACAAUCGUAUUUCAUUGUCAGAGGUGAAAUUCUUGGAUUUAUGAAAGACGAACUUCUGCGAAAGCAUUUGUCAAGGAUGUUUUCAUUAA